rnacentral:rRNA from 1 species
AGCGAACGCUGGCGGCAGGCCUAACACAUGCAAGUCGAACGGACCCUUCGGGGUUAGUGGCGGACGGGUGAGUAACACGUGGGAACGCGCCUUUAGGUUCGGAAUAACUCAGGGAAACUUGUGCUAAUACCGAAUGUGCCCUUCGGGGGAAAGAUUUAUCGCCUUUAGAGCGGCCCGCGUCUGAUUAGCUAGUUGGUGAGGUAAAGGCUCACCAAGGCGACGAUCAGUAGCUGGUCUGAGAGGAUGAUCAGCCACAUUGGGACUGAGACACGGCCCAAACUCCUACGGGAGGCAGCAGUGGGGAAUCUUGCGCAAUGGGCGAAAGCCUGACGCAGCCAUGCCGCGUGAAUGAUGAAGGUCUUAGGAUUGUAAAAUUCUUUCACCGGGGACGAUAAUGACGGUACCCGGAGAAGAAGCCCCGGCUAACUUCGUGCCAGCCGCCGCAGUAACAC